CAAAAUUGAUUAGCAGUGAAGUGGCACAAUCGGUAGAGUACCAAUCACUCCAAUAUCUUUGUCAAGAAAAACUUUUAUGGAAUCACAAAAAGUCAGGCACAACGGAAACGGAAGGAACAAGAAGAAGAAACCAGAAUUCAUCAUUUCGUUUCAUCAGAUAAGAAUAAAAAAUGAAAAUAAAUGGACAAUGAGGUGGCACAGUAGGCAGAGUACCAAUCACUCCAGUAUCUUUGUCAACAAAAGUCUACAUGGAAUCAAAAAGAGUCAGGCACAACGGAAACGACAAAGAAAAAACAGAAUUCAUCAAUUCAUUUCAUCAGAUAAGAAAAAAUGAAAUAAAAAUCAACAGGUAGCAGCGAGGUGGCAGAGUAGGCAGAGUACCAAUCACUCCAAUAUUUUUUUCAAGAAAAGUCUACACAGAAUCAUAAAGUCAGGCACAACGGAAAAGAGGGAACAACAAAAAGAAACCAGAAUUCAUCAUUUCAUUUCAUCAGAUAAGAAACUAAAAUAAAAAUCAACGGGCAGUGAGGUGG